rnacentral:rRNA from 1 species
GAGUUUGAUCCUGGCUCAGGAUGAACGCUGGCGGCGUGCUUAACACAUGCAAGUCGAGCGAAGCACUUAAGUCUGAUUCUUCAGAUGAAGACUUUUGUGACUGAGCGGCGGACGGGUGAGUAACGCGUGGGUAACCUGCCUCAUACAGGGGGAUAACAGUUAGAAAUAGCUGCUAAUACCGCAUAAGCGCACGGUUCCGCAUGGAACAGUGUGAAAAACUCCGGUGGUGUGAGAUGGACCCGCGUCUGAUUAGCCAGUUGGCGGGGUAACGGCCCACCAAAGCGACGAUCAGUAGCCGGCCUGAGAGGGUGAACGGCCACAUUGGGACUGAGACACGGCCCAGACUCCUACGGGAGGCAGCAGUGGGGAAUAUUGCACAAUGGGGGAAACCCUGAUGCAGCGACGCCGCGUGAAGGAAGAAGUAUCUCGGUAUGUAAACUUCUAUCAGCAGGGAAGAAAAUGACGGUACCUGACUAAGAAGCCCCGGCUAACUACGUGCCAGCCGCCGCGGUAAUAC